rnacentral:rRNA from 1 species
UACGGAGGGUCCAAGCGUUAUCCGGAAUCAUUGGGUUUAAAGGGUCCGUAGGCGGUUUUGUAAGUCAGUGGUGAAAGCCCAUCGCUCAACGGUGGAACGGCCAUUGAUACUGCAAGACUUGAAUUAUUAGGAAGUAACUAGAAUAUGUAGUGUAGCGGUGAAAUGCUUAGAGAUUACAUGGAAUACCAAUUGCGAAGGCAGGUUACUACUAAUGGAUUGACGCUGAUGGACGAAAGCGUGGGGGAGCGAAACAGG